rnacentral:rRNA from 1 species
GCGUAGGGUAUGUAGGUGGUGGGAAAAAAAAAAAUUUAAAUACUAGAUUAUCAUCUUUUAUGUUUUUUUAAUGUUUCAUAGAAUCUCAGAAGGACGAUGGUAUUUUUAGGGAGUCGUUAAAUACAAGAUAUAAAAAGGACCGACAGGGGUGAAAGCAAUCUUCCUUUCGAGUAUUGAGCUAAUGUACGAAGGCAGGGGAGCAAAGAGGAUUAGACACCCUCGUAGUCCGUGUGUCAACGCUGAGUUUUCAAUGUAGGAAUCUUCUUUUCUAUUAUAAUAAAUUUUGUAAUGUUUUGGUGUUAAUUUUUUGCUUAUUUUGAUCAUCAAAAAGUUGUAAAACUAAAGGUAAUAAUUCCUGGUGUUUGAGUAACGCAUUAAAUUCUCCGCUGGGAAGUACGGCCGCAGGUUGAAACUCAAAAGAAUUGAGGUGACUUGUACGAGG